rnacentral:rRNA from 1 species
CCUACGGGCGGCAGCAGUGGGGAAUAUUGGACAAUGGGGGCAACCCUGAUCCAGCCAUGCCGCGUGUGUGAAGAAGGCCCUCGGGUUGUAAAGCACUUUCAGUGAGGAAGAACGCCUCGUGGUUAAUACCCAUCAGGAAAGACAUCACUCACAGAAGAAGCACCGGCUAACUCCGUGCCAGCAGCCGCGGUAAUACGGAGGGUGCGAGCGUUAAUCGGAAUUACUGGGCGUAAAGCGCGCGUAGGUGGCUUGAUAAGCCGGUUGUGAAAGCCCCGGGCUCAACCUGGGAACGGCAUCCGGAACUGUCAAGCUAGAGUGCAGGAGAGGAAGGUAGAAUUCCCGGUGUAGCGGUGAAAUGCGUAGAGAUCGGGAGGAAUACCAGUGGCGAAGGCGGCCUUCUGGACUGACACUGACACUGAGGUGCGAAAGCGUGGGUAGCAAACAGGAUUAGAUACCCUAGUAGUC